CACGUAGGGUGCGAGCGUUGUCCGGAAUUAUUGGGCGUAAAGAGCUCGUAGGCGGCUUGUCGCGUCGACUGUGAAAACCCGUGGCUCAACCAUGUGGUCUGCAGUCGAUACGGGCAGGCUAGAAUUCGGUAGGGGAGACUGGAAUUCCUGGUGUAGCGGUGAAAUGCGCAGAUAUCAGGAGGAACACCGGUGGCGAAGGCGGGUCUCUGGGCCGAUAUUGACGCUGAGGAGCGAAAGCGUGGGGAGCGAACAGG
rnacentral:rRNA from 1 species